rnacentral:lncRNA from 1 species
AUCACCUCCUAAACACUAAUUCACUAUUAAAGUCACCAAAACUUAAGCAGUUUCAACAAAUAAAGUCACCAACAACAUCACCUUCUAAACACUAGUUCACUAUUAAAGUCACCAAAACUUAAGCUUUUUCAACUAACAAAGGCACCAACGAAACUAAUUCACUAUUAAAGUCACCGGCACUUAAGCAUUUUCAACAAAUAAAUUAACCAACAACAUCACCUUCUAAACAAAAUUUCACUUUAAAAGUCACCGGCACUUAAGCAUUUUCAACAAAUAAAGUAACCAACAAAAUUUCCUUCUAAACAAAAGUUCACUAUUAAAGUCACCGUCACUUAAACAUCACCUUCUAAACAAAAGUUCACUUUUAAAGUCACCAAAAGUUAAGCUUUUUCAACUAGCAAAGGCACCAACAACAUCACCUUCUAAACAAAAGUUCACUAUUAAAGUCACCGGCACUUAAGCAUUUUCAACAAAUAAAGUAACCAACAACAUCACCUUCUAAACAAAAGUUCACUAUUAAAGUCACCGGCACUUAAGCAUUUUCAACAAAUAAAGUCACCAAUAACAUCACCUCCUAAACACUAGUUCACUAUUAAAGUCACCAAAAACUUAAGCUUUUUCAACAAACAAAGGCACCAAUGAAACUAAUUCACUAUUAAAGUCACCAAAACGUAAGCAUUUUCAACAAAUAGAGUCACCAACAACAUCACCUUCUAAACACUAAUUCACCAUUAAAGUCACCGGCACUUAAGCAUUUUCAACAAAUAAAGUAACCAACAACAUCACCUUCUAAACAAAAGUUCACUUUUAAAGUCACCGGCACUUAAG